rnacentral:tRNA from 1 species
CCUCGGCCUAGCCCGCGAGCGCUUGUCGGUUGUAACAGACAAGGUCAGCAGACCCGGUGCGAUUCCGGGGCCGACGG